CCCCCACCCCACCCCUCCAAGGAUCUGAUCUCUUCUCUCAGGAAGGAUGAUGUUCUCCAGUGAGCCCAGGGGAGAUCCUGGACAUCAGGCCUGGCCGAGGGAGCACCGAGUUCCAGUCUUUCCCAAGGUGGGAAG
ensembl:miRNA